CUUGGAUUAGGUAUUCUACGUUCUCCUUACAAUAUAUUAAUUCUAUCCCAUCAGACAUAUUGCCGAGAAAUUAACGUAUGUCGAUUUGAUUCGCAAGCGACUUGGGCUCAGCUGCUCCAACCGAAUGAUCAGUCGGUUGGUGAAACUGGGCCUUAAAGUUAGCGUCAAUCGAGCGCGCUGUAGGAUCGAUAUAUCGAGGUCUUGGCGGCGAGGAGAAAUGGAAGAAGCGCCGGAAGGAUGUUCCAAGGACGACUCCAACAUACCUGUGCAGAGCCUCGUUGAAGUCUAAGAUGCAGCCGCGCCAGUCCUCGUCGAGGUACGCCUGGACCGCGUUGUCAAAGAUCUCGGCGAGCGGGACGUCUUGUUCUUGGCGAUUGUCCUGGCUAACUUCAUCGUUGUCGUCGUCAAUCUCAUUGGUCUCGAUCACAUCGGCGCGGCACGUGCACGCAGCUAGCAGUAGCACGAGCGGAGCGACAACAAGCAGCUUCAUCUUCGCGGCGCUUCCGCUUCUUCCUCCUCUUAACGGGCCGUUGUCUGGAGCCGCACUGACGACGAUACGCAAGCCACAUGGCCGCUAAAGCGCGGAUCACUUACGCGUGGGUCGGAUGUCGCGCUCACGCAUACACGCACGCAGCCGCCGUUGUAGAUCACCGUAUACAGGGCGACUCACAAGAGGAUAUAACGUAAGAUACGUGAAAAAUAACAGCAAUGAAGACCUAUUACAUAUAGUAAAAGUAAAAACUAUUGCUUGUUAUUUUUAUUUAAAAUUAAAAAGAAGCAAAGCUACUAUGUAUUUACCAGAGCUGUGAAUUUUCUUGAGAAGGUCUUUCUUUGCAAGAAGCAUUCUAAAAAUACUCUGAAAACCGGAAUAAACCAGGACAGUCUGGCUGAAUCCGGGACAAAUCCGAAUAGCAUUCGAGAAAAUCCAGGACAAAGGGUAAAAAAUCGGGAAAAACGGGCACUUUAUGUAAUGGCUAAGAGUUCUUCAAAUAAAAGUCAGGAUACCGUUCGCCACUUAUAGAGAAGAAAUGAGUAAAUGAGUGAGAAAGAAGUUACAGCGUCAUUUUGAUCUUAGAGCUUCUCUCUCACUUCUAUUCUUCCCUAUUAAUGGCGAAUAAGGUUCGGUCCAAUCGGGAAUCAUCACGCGAUGUCCAACUCUUACUUAAGGAACUCUAGUAAUGACGUAAUUGCGAGACGGUCAAUAUCUAAGAGAUAAUGACCGAGCGAUGAUUAACCACCGUGUUUGAAUAUUAGAGAUAAUGUCGCGUUAUUGAUAUCUAUGAUGUCGUGGAUGAAUGCCCGCGUUUAUUUUCAGACAGAACCUCCGACUGUUCGUGUUCCGGUGUUCCGCUUCAUUGACCAGAAGCCGGUUUUGAAUAGUACGCUGGCGACGGAUCGCGCGAUUACUUGUUAUAGGAUGUCGCUAUCAGUUUUCACAGACUGUGACGAAUCUCGCGUAGAUGUUUUCCAUGCUGCGUAUCUUGUUCCUCGCGCGACACCUUGAAGGCUCAAAUAAUGCAGAUGUGGAACUCGCGCGGAAAAUAAGAUAUUAAGGAAUGUUCCGUUUGUUUUACUGUACGAUCAAAUGACGUAUUGCACAUCGCGAGUACUUGCAAGUAACGAUGAAAUAACGCUGGUGAUGAGUAAAGUUGGUUGGUGAUAACAAUGACUUAACGCUGACGAUAAGUGAAGUCGGCUGGUAAAUCAGAAGGACAGACGAUUCGAGGCAUAUCAUUGGCAUUUAUACAAAUUCGAAUCUUGUUACAAUCACACUCAAGUACAAUCUCGUUUGCUUUCGUAGUGAUACAAAGGAAAAUACGCACAUGUGGCCGACGCUUCGUUUCAAGCUGCCGAAUACGCGCGCCGAAUAUUCUGACUUUCGGGAAAAAUCUGCGCUGCGUUGCGUGUGACAAGAAGAAAGGGAAGAGAAAAGAAAGGAAAAGUAACCGCUUUUGUAGAUACAGCAAUACAUUGUUCGUUCGUUCGUUCAUUCAUUCGCUAGCACGCUCUUUCCUUUUUCUCCAACUAUAAAAUCACAACCGACAGUAAAAGGUAACAAAACAGUAUCGGAAGCUUCAAUGCGAGAAUGAAAAUAAGUACACAAUCAUCUAAUCGCUCAUCCAUUUCAUUCAAGCACGAAAUGGACCUCUUUCUCUCUCUCUUUUUCUCUCAACAGAUCAAUCAUGGACUUAUCUCAUUCUUGAACCGAACCCUUCAAAUUCUCAACAAAACCGGACGCACGUCUCUCUCGUUUCCUCCGCAAACUCAUUCAACGCUCGAGAGAAGUUUCUCUUUCUCUCUCUCUCUCUUUCUCACACACAAACACACAAUUCCAAUUCGUCUUCACACACACUCGCGUCGCCCACGACAAUUAUGAUGACACGCUUUCUUAAUGUGCGUUCUUAAUGUCCAAUCUAUACGAUUGGCUCUACGAAAACAAAUUCGUGUACAAUACUAAAAAUCAGAGGCAUAUCCUUUACCCUGUCUCGGUAGACGAUAGAAUCUCGACGUAACGCAAUCGGCUACUCGCCUCGCACGUGCACUUUUCUCUCUCGCCCGCACUAGUUCCUCCUCCGUUUUGCGACAAAACAACCUGUCGUUUCGCUGAAGAUUCGACCCGGCAUCAUUUCAGAGAACGUAUCAUCCUUAUAGCUUGUUACGUUGAGCGUCUAUCAUUAUCGAUCAGUGAUAUCGCUUACGUACCUAAGCAUGACAAUAAAAACAGCUCUUACUCAUUUUCUCUCUCUCUAUCAAUU